UUUUCUUAUAAUUUGGAGAACUUUCUUUCCUGUCUCAAUUUGUUCCCAAAAUUAAGGUACCUAGAUGGUGCAAAAAAUAUCAAAUACACAAAUAAGUAGUGUCUGUAUCCUCAUUUAGCAGUGACACCAAACGUAAAAACACAUAAAUAAGUUGUUGGCUAUUUGAAAUCCCAGCACCAGAGAAAUAGAACACCAUAAAAAUGUAGAAUUGAAAUGUUAUCAAAAUUGUUCUCCGUUUAUUUGAACUUACAUUAUGUUUAGA
rnacentral:sRNA from 1 species